AGCAAAAAAAAAAAAAAAAAAUCCAUCAAGGCUAGAAGGAUCCUCUAUAAAGCACACAACACCCACACAUCUCUAUGUAGUCAAAAUAGGAAAAUGACUUCUGAGGCUCAACCAGGAUAAGGCAUUCUUCACAACUAUGAAGGGACUAGAUGUUAGCAAGGCAUUAGUUACGUAACCGAAUAAGCUUGAUCCUUCAAACCCUUAUGGCCAAAUCCUUCUCCCAAAGCACCAGAUGGCAUAAGAAAGAGAGCAAACAACAGCCAUCAAGCGCUAAAAUAAUGAGCUUUGAUAGUAGAUUAAGUAGAACAUAAAAACUGGGACAUGCAGAUCAAAACGAAAACCCUCUCCAUCAAUACUAGAUCAGUAAAAUGCGCCCCAUUUACAUCUCAACCCUGAAAGUAGGGAGGGAAACCCAUUCUCCAAGACUAGGGAAAGACCAUCCUUUGCUCGGAAGGGGCAGAGGACAGUCGCAGCUCAGUAGAUGGGAAGGACCUAGUCUCCCAAAAACAAAAGAAAUAAAAGAGAGAAAAACUCUCUAGAUACUAGGGAGAGGUAAUAACCAUAAUUUGCUUAUAUUUCAC
rnacentral:misc_RNA from 1 species